CAGGCGUUUAAAGUCAACACAUGCAACUGAACAACGGACUCAGAGUCAAACGGGUGAAGAGGCGGCUGCUGAAGAGCCAGCAAGUAAAACAGAAGAAGAAAUCAUCCAUUAUGGAGAGAUCGACUUCUCCACGAGACCUGAACUGGCCUCGGUGCAGGACGGUGGACAGCAGCAGGAUACGCUGUACGCACAGGUCAAAGUGUCCCAGACAGCAAACAGCUUAAGACAGACCGCCGACGGCCCAGAGGAUCUCUACGCUCAAGUGAAGAGAAACUGAGUGCUCUUGUUAAAAGACAAAAAAUACAUUUAUGUAGAAUUCAUAUUUAAUAUGCCUUAAUGUUGUCCUUGCUGCCUACAGUUCAAUGGAGAGGAAUUUAAAACAUCCACAUCCUGCAGAUUUUCAAUGUCAGUUAUCAACAUAUUCUCCCAAUCCUGGAUUAUGGUGCCUUGAUCUACAGACUCGCCUCCAAAAAUCAUCUCAAUAAACUGGACGUCAUCUACCAUACUGCCAUUCGCUUUGUCACCGGUGUCCCUUUCAACACUCAUCACUGUAACCUGUAAUCUCUAUAGUCAACUGGCCAUCCCUCCAUAGCAGGCGUCAGACCAGAAGACUAUCAUUGGCAAAACCCCUCCAUAUCUCCGCUCACUACUCAAUAUCUACAACAGGAACUGCAAUUUACGUUCUAGCAAAUUCUUCAGUAUGGUCAUUCCUCCUUUGGUCGUCUCUCAUUCCAGUUUGCUGCUCCUAGUGACUGGAAUGAGUUGCAAAAGAUGCUAAAACUCCACACCCUUAUUCUGUUACCCUCCUUUAAUGACUCAUUACAAGCGAUAGUUUCUGAUCACUGCACCUGCUUCUGAAUUUGCCUCUCUGGAACACAGCACAUAUAUAUAUAUAUAUAUAUAUAUAUAUAUAUAUUGUUGUAUAUACUGUAUUUAUUGUGAUGUUUUCAUUUUGUCUGUUUUAUUGCACUAAUCGUAUUUAUGUUCUAUGUUCUAAUGCAGGGGUCUCCAACAAGUAGCUCGCAAGCUACCCGUUUCUGAGUGGCUCGCUAACAGUUCUUUGUCAAACUGUUUAAAUUACAACCCAAUCAAAUUCACAGACAUCCCACCCCAUUCUGAGACCAAAUGAUUAUAUGCCUAUUGGCUGUCAAUUAAACUAGUUAGGCUGCUGUCAGGUUUGUAACGCCAUAACAUACAGAGACCGGAUUUGACAAUGACCGCAGAAAAUAGCAGGCCAAUAAAAGGCAAAAAAUACAUUAUUUUCAUGAGGAAUCGGUAUGUCUCACAUUUGCGGUGUGAGCGUGUUAGUCAGUAAAAGAUUUAUCGUCGAGCGCCAAGUCCACAGCAACUUUUCAUGGGACUUUCCAGCUGGUAGCAGUUUAUGAUCAAAGAAGGUAAAGGAGCCAAAAACGAUCCUUAAAAGACGACAGUCUCUGUUUACCAAAGAAGGCCGAUGAAGCAAAGAGCCAUCUUUUAGUGGCGCACAUCCUAACGAAACAAAAAAGCCCUUCACCUAUGAAAGAAUUGUAAAAGUGGCGAUGACUGCGGUGGUUGAAACGUUAUUAAAGGACCAUAAAAGUAAGACAGACUUGGUGCUUUGAGUAGCUCUCAGCCACUUUCAUUUUGUCAAAUUAGCUCUCAGAGGGAAACAGGUUGGAGACCCCUGUUCUAAUGUCUUGCUGCCUCUUGGCCACGUCAUCAUUGUAAAUGAGAAUUGGUUCUCAAUUGACUUAUGUGGUUAAAUAAAGAUAAAAUAAAAUAAAAAUAAAUAAAUAUUUGUGUGCUGAACUCA